rnacentral:lncRNA from 1 species
GGAUCCAAAGCUCUUCAGCACAUUCCAGUUGUAGUCUGCAUAAAUAAAUACAAGGGUAAAAAAAAUAACUUUGGGGAGAUUGGAUCACUGCCAGCCUUCCUGGGUAACUGGACUUUGUGUGGAGCUGGAAGGGUGUUUUUUAAAAGGAGGGAAGCAGAAUAGAACAGCUCAAGAAUCUUGGCUCAGCCUGGGCAUAUUUCCUCCUAACUCUGGCUAAACCUCAGCACAAACGGCUGGACGGAGCAGUUGAUGAGAAGUCGGGGAGAGAGCCUGCAGGGCUCUCCACCAGGACUACAGCAGAGCUUGGAGAGGCUAAAACCAUGCUUUUCCUUUGGGUGCUGGCAUUUAUUUUAGUUCUGCAGGAGCAAGAUCUCUUAGCUGCUGCAGACCCUGUCAGUGUAUUACCUGGAAGUUUGGGAAGAGGAAGCUGGUGUAACGAACAUGAUGUGGUCCGCAAACGCUUAGACAUUAUUGAAGAGAAGGUAAUAAAAACAGUGGAGCAUCUAGAAUCAGAAGUCAAAUCGCUCCUCAGCAUCAUCAGUGAGACAACACUGAAUAUCCCCAUUGCUCCAGGAACCUCAUUUACAGACAUUUUUGAUGAUACCAGCUGAGCACUGCAAAGACAGAAGACAGCUGAAUGUAACGCUAUGGUUGUCAUAAUCAGUUGCACUUUUGUUCAUUAAAUAAGCUUGUAUUUCCAGAAUUUGAGCAGGGUUGAAUAAUCCUCAGCUGUAGUUUGCCUUCUGCAUUCCUAUGCUUUAUAAUAAACAGGCAUUUGCUUUUAGACA